rnacentral:rRNA from 1 species
GGACGAACGCUGGCGGCGUGCUUAACACAUGCAAGUCGAACGGAAAGGCCCUGCUUUUGUGGGGUGCUCGAGUGGCGAACGGGUGAGUAACACGUGAGUAACCUGCCCUUGACUUUUGGAUAACUUCAGGAAACUGGGGCUAAUACCGGAUAGGAGCUCCUGCUGCAUGGUGGGGGUUGGAAAGUUUCGGCGGUUGGGGAUGGACUCGCGGCUUAUCAGCUUGUUGGUGGGGUAGUGGCUUACCAAGGCUUUGACGGGUAGCCGGCCUGAGAGGGUGACCGGCCACAUUGGGACUGAGAUACGGCCCAGACUCCUACGGGAGGCAGCAGUGGGGAAUAUUGCACAAUGGGCGGAAGCCUGAUGCAGCAACGCCGCGUGCGGGAUGACGGCCUUCGGGUUGUAAACCGCUUUCGCCUGUGACGAAGCGUGAGUGACGGUAAUGGGUAAAGAAGCACCGGCUAACUACGUG